CAAUGGGACAAUAGAAACACACCCAGCAUAUUCCUCCCCUCUGCUUAGGAGAUAAUUGAGUCAAUUACUGUAUCUACUCAAUUAUCUCCAAGCUGAAAAGUUACUUUUUGUACAUUUUUAUAACGUUGUGAGUUAACAUCGUACAUACAUAAAACUUACAUUUUCAUAAUCAAUCCAUUCAGGGGAACAACAUUUUAAAAAAUGGCACGAAUCAGACCAGGGGUUCAAAAGUUAAGGGAAAGUCCUUUGUGACUAAAUGAAGCAUGGCUUUCCGGCCCAAACCAGUUUCAGAGUCUUCUAUCCUG